rnacentral:rRNA from 1 species
AUUGAACGCUGGCGGCAGGCCUAACACAUGCAAGUCGAACGAGUGGCGGACGGGUGAGUAACGUCUGGGAAACUGCCCGAUGGAGGGGGUUAAUUACUGGAAACGGUAGCUAAUACCGCAUACCAUCGGAUGUGCCCAGACGGGAUUAGCUAUUAGGUGGGGUAAAGGCUCACCAAGGCGACGAUCCCUAGCUGGUCUGAGAGGGUGACCCGCCACACUGGAACGGAGACACGGUCCAGACUCCUACGGGAGGCAGCAGUGGGGAAUAUUGCGCAAUGGGCGCAAGCCUGAAGCAGCAAUGCCGCGUGUGUGAGGAAGGCCUUCGGGUUGUAAAGUACUUUCAGCGGGGAGGCGUUACCCACAGAGAAAGCAACGGCUAACUCCGUGCCAGCAGCCGCGGUAAUAC